rnacentral:rRNA from 1 species
AGCAGCCGCCGCGGGAAUACGAAGGGUGCAAGCGUUAAUCGGAAUUACUGGGCGUAAAGCGUGCGUAGGCGGUGAGUUAAGUCUGCUGUGAAAUCCCCGGGCUCAACCUGGGAAUGGCAGUGGAUACUGGCUCGCUAGAGUGUGUCAGAGGAUGGUGGAAUUCCCGGUGUAGCGGUGAAAUGCGUAGAGAUCGGGAGGAACAUCAGUGGCGAAGGCGGCCAUCUGGGACAACACUGACGCUGAGGCACGAAAGCGUGGGGAGCAAACAGGAUUAGAUACCCGGGUAGUCCCUGUCUCUUAUAU